rnacentral:rRNA from 1 species
GAUGAACGCUGGCGGCGUGCCUAAUACAUGCGAGUCGAGCGAACAGACGAGGAGCUUGCUCCUCUGACGUUAGCGGCGGACGGGUGAGUAACACGUGGAUAACCUACCUAUAAGACUGGGAUAACUUCGGGAAACCGGUGCUAAUACCGGAUCAUAUAUUGAACCGCAUGGUUCAAUAGUGAAAGACGGUUUUGCUGUCACUUAUAGAUGGAUCCGCGCCGCAUUAGCUAGUUGGUAAGGUAACGGCUUACCAAGGCAACGGUGCGUAGCCGACCUGAGAGGGGGAUCGGCCACACUGGAACUGAGACGCGGUCCAGACUCCGACGGGAGGCAGAGGUAGGGAAUCGUCGGCAAUGGGCGGAAGCCUGACGGAGCAGCGCCGCGUGGGUGAUGAAGGUCUUCGGAUCGUAAAACUCUGUUAUUAGUGAAGAACGAUUGUGGAAGUAACGAUGCACGUCUUGACGGUACCUGAACAGAAAGCCACGGCUAACUACGUG